AUGAACUCUGCCCUCGCGCUUGUCUCUUUCCAGUCUCCCUCUUUCAACCUAAAACAACGCCCACUGUCCCAACGCCAGCAGAUAAGCGUCGAGUGGGGGAAGAGGCAACAAUAUUCACCAAAGCCCAGACGAGCGAUACCAGGGCCAAAUGCAACGGGGGGACUCAACAAUGCUGACCGCGGAGGUAAUACCUUACCAUCUUCACCCAUGACAAAUGUGAUCCAGGAGUUCUACUCUUCCCUCAAUGACAAGGACAUCACACGGCUCACGGAGCUGAUUGACCCUGAUUGCACCGUCAAGCACACUUCAUAUUAUAAACCACUGGACAUCAAGGAUACUAUUGCAUACUUCGCAAGGCUUAUGGAAGCUAUGAGAAAAAAUGUCAAAUUUGCUAUUGAUGAGGUUUGUCAAGGAGUAGAACCCACUGUUGCUGCAGCAAUAUGGCACCUUGAGUGGAACGGUAAGAUCAUCCCAUUUACCAAAGGAUGCAGUUUCUACAUGUGUUCAGCAAAAGGGGAAGCGCUUCUUAUUAGGAAGGUCCACAUCUUCAACGAGUCACCUGUGAAACCAGUAAAUCUGGCAUUGGACAUACUUCUAUUUGUUACCUUUUUGUUCGACCUACUUCCAAAACAAGCUGAAGAUUUUCUACAGAAUCCAGAAGCACUAGUCCAGUCCUUUGUGAAGUUUUACAAAUUCCUCCUGGAGCCUGUUAUCGUGUAUCUUGUUGCAUAUUCUAUCCGCUUCUGGUCAUUUGUUGUGAAGCUUUACAAAUUAUACGUGGAGCCUAUUAUCGUGCAUCUUCUUGCAUAUAAUUUCCGCUUCUGGUCAUUUGUGGCACGAAGACUGGAUACGGUGCUCGACGUGUUGUAUAACAUUUUCAAGCAGUUCAUGUAA
rnacentral:rRNA from 1 species